CCUACGGGGGGCUGCAGUAAGGAGUAUUGGGCAAUGGGCGAAAGCCUGACCCAGCGACGCCGCGUGUGGGAUGAAGUCCUUCGGGAUGUAAACCACUGUCAGGAGCUACCAAGCAACUGCGCCUAAUAUGCGCAGGAGUUGAGGAGCUCCAGAGGAAGCCACGGCUAACUUCGUGCCAGCAGCCGCGGUAAGACGAAGGUGGCGAGCGUUGUUCGGAAUCAUUGGGCUUAAAGGGCGCGUAGGCGGCUCAUCAAGUGUCUUGUGAAAUCCCUCGGCUUAACCGGGGAAUUGCUGGGCAUACUGUUGAGCUUGAGGCAGGUAUGAGCGAGUGGAACUCUUGGUGGAGCGGUGGAAUGCGUAGAUAUCAAGAGGAACGCCGGUGGUGAAGACGAUUCGCUGGGCCUGUCCUGACGCUGAGGCGCGAAAGCCAGGGGAGCAAACGGGCUUAGAUACCCUAGUAGUC
rnacentral:rRNA from 1 species